AUUGAACGCUGGCGGCAGGCUUAAACACAUGCAAGUCGAGCGGAGUGAUGGUGCUUGCACUAUCACUUAGCGGCGGACGGGUGAGUAAUGCUUAGGAAUCUGCCUAUUAGUGGGGGACAACAUUUCGAAAGGAAUGCUAAUACCGCAUACGUCCUACGGGAGAAAGCAGGGGAUCUUCGGACCUUGCGCUAAUAGAUGAGCCUAAGUCGGAUUAGCUAGUUGGUGGGGUAAAGGCCUACCAAGGCGACGAUCUGUAGCGGGUCUGAGAGGAUGAUCCGCCACACUGGGACUGAGACACGGCCCAGACUCCUACGGGAGGCAGCAGUGGGGAUUAAUAUUGGACAAUGGGCGCAAGCCUGAUCCAGCCAUGCCGCGUGUGUGAAGAAGGCCUUAUGGUUGUAAAGCACUUUAAGCGAGGAGGAGGCUACUGAAGUUAAUACCUUCAGAUAGUGGACGUUACUCGCAGAAUAAGCACCGGCUAACUCUGUGCCAGCAGCCGCGGUAAUACAGAGGGUGCAAGCGUUAAUCGGAUUUACUGGGCGUAAAGCGCGCGUAGGCGGCUAAUUAAGUCAAAUGUGAAAUCCCCGAGCUUAACUUGGGAAUUGCAUUCGAUACUGGUUAGCUAGAGUGUGGGAGAGGAUCAGAAUUCCAGGUGUAGCGGUGAAAUGCGUAGAGAUCUGGAGGAAUACCGAUGGCGAAGGAGCCAUCUGGCCUAACACUGACGCUGAGGUGCGAAAGCAUGGGGAGCAAACAGGAUUAGAUACCCUGGUAGUCCAUGCCGUAAACGAUGUCUACUAGCCGUUGGGGCCUUUGAGGCUUUAGUGGCGCAGCUAACGCGAUAAGUAGACCGCCUGGGGAGUACGGUCGCAAGACUAAAACUCAAAUGAAUUGACGGGGGCCCGCACAAGCGGUGGAGCAUGUGGUUUAAUUCGAUGCAACGCGAAGAACCUUACCUGGCCUUGACAUAGUAAGAACUUUCCAGAGAUGGAUUGGUGCCUUCGGGAACUUACAUACAGGUGCUGCAUGGCUGUCGUCAGCUCGUGUCGUGAGAUGUUGGGUUAAGUCCCGCAACGAGCGCAACCCUUUUCCUUAUUUGCCCGAGCGAGUAAUGUCGGGAACUUUAAGGAUACUGCCAGUGACAACUGGAGGAAGGCGGGGACGACGUCAAGUCAUCAUGGCCCUUACGGCCAGGGCUACACACGUGCUACAAUGGUCGGUACAAAGGGUUGCUACCUAGCGAUAGGAUGCUAAUCUCAAAAAGCCGAUCGUAGUCCGGAUUGGAGUCUGCAACUCGACUCCAUGAAGUCGGAAUCGCUAGUAAUCGCGGAUCAGAAUGCCGCGGUGAAUACGUUCCCGGGCCUUGUACACACCCCCGUCACACCAUGGGAGUUUGUUGCACCAGAAGUAGGUAGUCUAACCGCAAGGAGGACGCUUACCACGGUGUGGCCGAUGACUGGGGUG
rnacentral:rRNA from 1 species